GGUACUGUAGACUAAUUGGCCAUGUCGGAUCCACGGAAUGGAGAAAAUGCGGGUUCGAAUCCCACCGGUGCCC